rnacentral:lncRNA from 1 species
UAAGUAUAGCUCAACUAAAUCUAUUAGGAUGUAUGGGCCUUAGACUAUAUGAUUGAAAGGAUGAUGGAGAAUUCAUCAAAUGGUUAAUAAAAUAUCUUACUUUAAGUGUAGAUGAAGUAAUAAAUGUCAACUUUAUAGAUAAUUUUGCUACUUAAUAAAAUAAUGAAGUAGAUAUAGACUUAAUAAUCCUAGUUGAAGACAUAAAAAUUAAAGAUGUCUUU